rnacentral:rRNA from 1 species
AUUGAACGCUGGCGGCAUGCUUUACACAUGCAAGUCGAACGGCAGCACGAGUGCUUGCACUUGGUGGCGAGUGGCGAACGGGUGAGUAAUACAUCGGAACGUGUCCUAAAGUGGGGGAUAACGCAUCGAAAGAUGUGCUAAUACCGCAUAUUCUGUGAGCAGGAAAGCAGGGGACCGCAAGGCCUUGCGCUCUUUGAGCGGCCGAUGUCAGAUUAGCUAGUUGGUGAGGUAACGGCUUACCAAGGCGACGAUCUGUAGCGGGUCUGAGAGGAUGAUCCGCCACACUGGAACUGAGACACGGUCCAGACUCCUACGGGAGGCAGCAGUGGGGAAUUUUUGGACAAUGGGCGCAAGCCUGAUCCAGCCAUGCCGCGUGAGUGAAGAAGGCCU